GGGUUGUGAGGUUAAGCGACUAAGCGUACACGGUGGAUGCCCUGGCAGUCAGAGGCGAUGAAGGACGUGCUAAUCUGCGAUAAGCGUCGGUGAGGUGAUAUGAACCGUUAUAACCGGCGAUUUCCGAAUGGGGAAACCCAGUGUGUUUCGACACACUAUCAUUAACUGAAUCCAUAGGUUAAUGAGGCGAACCGGGGGAACUGAAACAUCUAAGUACCCCGAGGAAAAGAAAUCAACCGAGAUUCCCCCAGUAGCGGCGAGCGAACGGGGAGGAGCCCAGAGCCUGAAUCAGUGUGUGUGUUAGUGGAAGCGUCUGGAAAGGCGUGCGAUACAGGGUGACAGCCCCGUACACAAAAAUGCACAUAUUGUGAGCUCGAUGAGUAGGGCGGGACACGUGGUAUCCUGUCUGAAUAUGGGGGGACCAUCCUCCAAGGCUAAAUACUCCUGACUGACCGAUAGUGAACCAGUACCGUGAGGGAAAGGCGAAAAGAACCCCGGCGAGGGGAGUGAAAAAGAACCUGAAACCGUGUACGUACAAGCAGUGGGAGCCUCUUAAUGGGGUGACUGCGUACCUU
rnacentral:rRNA from 1 species